UUACUCCUGGUGAAAUAUUAUUUUUUCAAUUUCAAAAGGGCAAAAGAUCUCUCUCCUCGCUAAAAUCUCUGUGGAUACAUUAGUUUAGGGUUUUUGGCUUCAAUACUACGUCCUGACGAAUCUCAGAUCCGGAUUAGGUCUUAUUUUUGUACCUUCUCACCCUACUUUGGGUAGUGUUUUUGUUUUCAAACUAUCAUCUCAAAAGAAGAAUUCCCAUUUCCCCUUUCUCUUAGGUACUGUUUUGCACCUUCUCGCCCUCCUCGUUCCAGAUUGAAGAAAUUUAUAAAGCUAGAGAAACGGGAAUUCUUCCAAUCUCAGAUUUUGGUGCCUACCAGAGGCAUGAACUGGUUAAUGUAUCUGAUGCAACUGUUGUUGCUCUAGCUGAAGGUUGCAAGAAUCUUGAUGCUCUUAAUUUAACUGGCUGUGAAUUUGUCACUGGUGAAGGUGUUCGUGCUUUGACAAAGCAUAGGUCAUUGAAAGAGCUCGUUUUGACUAGUUGCGAGAAGCUUAAUGGAUAUGAUUUGGAAGAGUUGGUGCUCGGAUGCCAGACAUUAGAAUACAUUGUGGUUGAUAGAAGAUUAAGGAUGUGGGUUCCUAUGGAAGUGCAGGAUAAUAUAAUGAGAGAACACUGUUGGAUAGAUUGGAAAUAACAGAUGAAAUAAGAGUUGAAUAUCUCAGUUAAUAUGUAUUGAUCUGUUUUCAGUGGUACCCUUAUUUCCUGAUACCUCUCAGCAGUUAUAUCUCUGGUCUUUCAUUCCCCAUGCCUCAGGAUGAAUCAAGCGGCAGCUCUUAGGAGAAAAGUUCCGAAUCCUAACAAAGCUCAAAGUCCAUGAAGAAUAUAAGUUUCGAUUUCCAAUACCGAUCAAGUGCUGAACUAGCCAAAAAAUUUCAGAUUAAGAGAGAAAAGCAUGCAAGUGAUCAAAACGAUAAAGCUGCUAAAGACCAUGCAUUACUUGGAGUUAAAAGGAAGAAUUGUAUGCCUGCAACAUUAGAAGGACAAAGUAGACAGAAGUUAACUCAAUCCGAUGUGUCAGUUCAAAAGUUAGGAAGGAAUAGAUUACCGGUGUACGAAUCAAUCCAAUCGUCUUCAAGGGAAGAUCUGAACACUUCACACAGUAUUGCAAGUAAAGGACAAAUUAAACAAAGGUCAAUUCUAUUGGAGGAGCCUAUUCAAAAGUAAGGAAUUAGUAAAUUACCUGUGCCCACAUCCAUGAUCCAAUCAUCUGCAAAGGUAGAUCCUAACACUAUACAUAUGCUUAGAAGAACGCAAGGUGAAGGAGAGAAACAACUUGAUAUUCAGGAGCUACAAAAUUGCAAAGUGGUAAAGACAAACUCAGUCCUACCGUCGACGAGUGUUAAUCAAUUUCUAAAAAAAUAUGGGAUACAAGUCGGUGGUGAAAAAUAUCCUGAUAAUCACCCAGAAAAUGAAGUCAGAUUUAUGUCCUCUCCUCUUAUUGAUGAGCGUGAAAUAGAAUUGGAUAAUUUUGUUGCACAAGAUAAAGUUGGUGACGAUGAAUUUAUUGGAGAUGAGGACAUGAACAUCGAUGGUGCUGCAGGUGGGACACCAGAGAAGAAAAGAGUUCGAGGGCAAACAACAUGUAAGAAUAUUCAUACAAGAAGUUUUGAAAAAAGAGAGGAGGUAACAAUUGAUAAAGGACAAGCAGUUGGACCAACUGACAGGAGAGUGUCUGAUUUGACCAACUUUUUAGGAAUAAUUGCAAGGAAUCCAAGAUUUAUCCCCUUGGUGCAUGUUGUGUCAAAGGAUGUUAAGCAACAAAUGUGGGAAUAUGUCAAUGUAAGUAUAAUUAAUUUUUCAAUUACAUAUUUUUUGUAUUUUUCCUACUAAGAAAAGAUAUAUAUAUAUAUAUAUAUAUAUAUAUAUAUAUAUAUAUCUGUGUGUGUGUGUGUGUGUGUGUAUGUUUGUGUGUUGUUUUGCGGUCCAAGUUCUUAAUUCCAGCUGAAGGAGAGAAGUGGGUAAUGACUGGUCUUCGUGAUGCUGGGAAGUGACACAAGAGAAAUAUUAAGAAGAAAUAUUUUGAUAAAAAUGCUACUAUUGACGAAAUGCUACAGAAUUGUCCCAAUGAGAUAUCCGAAGUUCAAUUCCGUCAAUUGAUUGAGUAUUGGGAUGAUGAAGAUGUCCAAGCUAUGUGCCAAUUAAAUUCUGAAAAUAGGAAAAAACAAAAGUGGAGGCAUCGAAUGGGACCUAUUAAAUUUUGCAAGAGUGUGUGUGGCAUUGCGCACAACCAAAGAGAACAAUGAGGAACCAUCAAAGUCUGAAAUGUUUAUUGCAAUUCGUACAAAAAAAGGGAAGGAAGUUCAUACGGAUACUCAAGUUGCAAUAUAUGAACUUCAGAAUCGCCAAAGUUCUGGAGAAACAACAGAUGAUGCAUUUAGGGUUGUAUUUGGAAAGGAGCAGCCUGGUCGGGUUAGAUGCUAUGGUAGAUCGGUGACGACAAGCUCUCUAAAAAAAAAGAAGAAAUCACCAAGCUUAAACAAAAGCAUGCCAACGAAAUAACUUCUCUGGAGGAAGAAAUGAAGGAAAUAAUGAGGGAAGAAAUGCGAUAUUUGUUUAGUCAAUUGGUGAAAAACAACCAUGGACUAGAUUUUUAUGAUAUACAAGGGUGUGUUGGAUCUAAUAUUCCUUCACCGGUUGAUGCAAGUAGUGCACGAGCUAUGAGAGGAAAAAAUCUACAACAUUCUUCUGGCUCAACUCAUGCCCCGAGUAUUGAAAAUGUAUUUAUAUUUUAUAAUUCCAAAAACUAUCUCAAUCUUAAGUAACUUACAAAAUCAUGCUUUCUAUAAGUGUGUGAUAGGAAACUGAAUCUAUUGUCAUGACUAAGAUUCUAGGGGUCAUAAUGUUUGAAAGUAGACUAUAGAAAGAAUAUUUGCAGAGUUGGUUAUUGGUAUCUCAAUAGGUAUUUGGUUUCUUUGAGGAGAUCAUUUUGGAACAGUGUUAUCUUUAAAUAUUUUAAGUUCAUGUA